GACGAACGCUGGCGGCGUGCUUAACACAUGCAAGUCGAACGGAAAGGCCUCUUUCGGGGGGUACUCGAGUGGCGAACGGGUGAGUAACACGUGAGUAACCUGCCCUUGACUUUGGGAUAACUUCAGGAAACUGGGGCUAAUACCGGAUAGGAGCUCCUGCUGCAUGGUGGGGGUUGGAAAGUUUCGGCGGUUGGGGAUGGACUCGCGGCUUAUCAGCUUGUUGGUGGGGUAGUGGCUUACCAAGGCUUUGACGGGUAGCCGGCCUGAGAGGGUGACCGGCCACAUUGGGACUGAGAUACGGUCCAGACUCCUACGGGAGGCAGCAGUGGGGAAUAUUGCACAAUGGGCGCAAGCCUGAUGCAGCCAUGCCGCGUGUAUGAAGAAGGCCUUCGGGUUGUAAAGUACUUUCAGCGGGGAGGAAGGGAGUAAAGUUAAUACCUUUGCUCAUUGACGUUACCCGCAGAAGAAGCACCGGCUAACUCCGUG
rnacentral:rRNA from 1 species